ACCUGGGUGGCUCAGUCAGUUGAGCGUCCGACUUCGGCUCAGGUCAUGAUCUCAUGGUCUGUGAGUUCGAGCCCCGCCUCAGGCU
rnacentral:tRNA from 1 species